GGCGCGGGCCAUUUGUAGCUAAUGGCGGGUGCUUGGUCCGCUGAUAGUUGUGAAGGAUGCUCCUCUACUAGCUGUACGUGCGGCCACAAGGGCAAGUGGGGCGACUCCUCGCUGUUAGGCAAGCGGCUCUCGGAAGACUCGAGCCGCCACCAGCUGCUGCAGAAGUGGGCGAGCAUGUGGAGCUCCGUGAGCGGAGACGCGUCGGUGGCCUGCCCUGAGAGGACGCGGCGCGAGGAGGCUGCGGACCCGGCGGAGGAGGACAGGCCGCUGGUGUUUCUGUGCUCGCGCUGCCGGCGGCCGCUGGGAGACUCGCUGAGCUGGGUGGCGAGCCAGGAAGACACCAAUUCCAUCUUGCUUCGCUGUGUUACCUGUAAUGUUUCUGUGAAUGAGGAACAGAUACUAUCCAAACGUAAAAAUGAAAAUGGUUGCGUCCUGGAGACCUUGCACUGCGCAGGAUGCUCGCUCAGCCUCGGCUACCGGUACAGGUGCACACCCAAGGGCCUGGACUACAAGCGGGACUUGUUCUGCCUCAGUGUCGAAGCUGUUGAAAGUGGCAUAAACAGCAGACAUUUAUUUCACGUGGUUCUGGAGGCGGGAAGUCCGAGAUAAGCUGGCAACAGGCUCUGUGUAAGAACGCUUCCUGGUUUGCAGAUUUACCUUGUCCUGUGUGUUCGUGUGGCCUUUCCUUGGUAGUUUGUUUCAUGAAGACUUCAUAUUAAAGUUCAAGUGGAUGAAUGCAAAAGUCUUCAUGACCUUAAUGCCACUGGAGCUGGACAACUGUUAGCCUACGAAGUAGAAGACUAAGAAGGUCAGUAUUAGGACACUGCCUCUUGCCUUCUCCCCUGCCUCUUGGAGAUGGGGAGCACACAGUAGAUGUCCCUGUGGUCACCGAUGGAGGCGUAAACAGCACAGGACACAGAGAGGAGAGGCUGAGGACCUCCCACCCACCCACAGGAGACCUUGGCACCACCAGCCUGCCAGCGAUGCAGCCUGCAAGAAGACCUGCAUGGUAAUUCUCAGAUUCCUAAAGAAAAUAACUUUCUAUUCCCACCCCCAUAGGAAGAUGUCUUGGGUUAGAAAAAAAGGAGUGAAUGCAAAAUUAUAAAGACAAUGAGUCUGAGUUCCCUGAUAAGUGCGUUAGGAAGCUUGCAUAUUUUCCAUCCCUGGAGAGGUCCAGAAACUGGAACUUGGUGUGGCAGGAGGCCGACUGAGUUAAGUAAGGGAGGAAGCAAAGGCUAUUUCUGUUACAGGCUGGAAUGGACUGACAAGAGCCCACUCGUUUUACUAGAGCAGGGACGGACAAGUGCUAGGCUUUUUACAGGCCUUUCUUUGUUGUAGAUACAUCUGUCGCAAUUACUUUAAGUUCUCCCAGCUUAUUUAAGUAUGAUAUAUGCAUGCUCAGUCACUCAGGCAUGUCCGAUUCUUUGCGACCCCAUGGACUGUAGCCUGCCAGGCUCCUCUGUCCAUGGGAUUCUCCAGGCAAGAAUACCAGAGUGGGUGCCAUGCCCUCCUCCAGAGGAUCUUCCCCACCCAGGGAUGGAAGCUGUGUCUCUUAUGUCUCCUGCAUUGGCGGGCAGGUUCUUUCCCUCUUUACCCGGGAAACCCAAGUAUGAUAUAUAGUGCUGACCAAUUAAACAUCCCAGUACAUUUCGUACUUCUUUUAAACUAUUAACAUUUGAUGAUGGUGUGGAAGAAGGGGAGCCCUAUUAGUAAAAUUGGCCUAUCGUUUAUUUGCUAUUUGUAAAGAAAGACUUAUCAUACCUGAUAAAUAUAAGAAGGAGUGUCCUAAUACAGACCAUAAACAGUGGCAGGAAUGCUUCUAAGAGUCCAGGAGUCACUAAUCCCAGUGCACGUGGAGACCAUCUCCUGCCUGCAGGAAAUAGAGUCUGGAAGAGGGCAUUCGUUUGAGGUAAAUGGCUGACUUUGGGGGUUGCCUUCAAAUAUCAAGUUUCUAUUUUUGUUUGAUGACUGCAUUUUUUUCAGUUGCUGAUAAAUCGUAAGCAGAGGGACAGACUGUUAUGGGUUUAUCCUCUUAAAUGUUAAGUUCAUGGAGAGAUGCACGAAAGCUCCAUUUGAGGGCUAAGAGGUUAAAGGUUAUGUCUCUGUUUUGAGCUUUCCAGAUCCCAGAAUAAAGUGCUUAGGGGGAAUCAUUUUUUUUUUAAAAGUUUGAAGCAUAGCUAAUUUACAAUGCUGUCUUAGUUUCUAGUGGACAACAAAGUGAUUAAAUUUUGCGUAUAUAUGUAUGCAUUCUUUUUGAUAUUCUUUCCCAUUGUAGUUUAUUACAAGAUAUUGGAUAUAGUUCCCUGUGCUACACAAUAGGACCUUGUUGUUUAUAGAUUUUAUAUAUAUAUAUUGGUUUGUAUCUGCCAAUCCCAAACUCCUCAUUUAUCUCUCCCACCUUUUCCCUUUGGUAACCAUAAAUUUGUUUUCUGUGUCUGUGUUUCUGUUUUGUAAAUAAGUUCAUUUGUAUCACUUGUUUAGUUUCCACGUUUAAGUGAUAGCAUAUUAUAUUGGUCUUUCUGUGUCUGACUGACUUCACUAAGUAUGACAAUCUCUAGGUCUACCCAUGUUGGUGCAAAUGGCAUUGUUUCAUUCUUUGUUAUGGCUGAGUAAAA